CACCCACUAGCUAGCCCACCAUAAUAACAUCAAAAUACUACUAUUAAUACCCCUAAAUUAUACAACCCCUCAAAUAAACAAACCAUUUCUCACCUUAAGUAUGGGCGAUAGAAAAAGGACCAG
rnacentral:rRNA from 1 species